rnacentral:tRNA from 1 species
UGCGGAUGUGGCGGAAUUGGCAGACGCGCAGGCUUCAGGUGCCUGUGGGCUUCGGCUCGUGGAGGUUCGACUCCUCUCAUCCGCAU